rnacentral:rRNA from 1 species
UGGGGAAUAUUGCACAAUGGGGGAAACCCUGAUGCAGCGACGCCGCGUGAGCGAAGAAGGUUUUCGAAUCGUAAAGCUCUGUCCUAUGGGAAGAUAAUGACGGUACCAUAGGAGGAAGCCCCGGCUAACUACGUGCCAGCAGCCGCGGUAAUACGUAGGGGGCAAGCGUUGUCCGGAAUCACUGGGCGUAAAGGGUUCGCAGGCGGAAAUGCAAGUCAGGUGUAAAAGGCAGUAGCUUAACUACUGUAAGCAUUUGAAACUGCAUAUCUUGAGAAGAGUAGAGGUAAGUGGAAUUUUUAGUGUAGCGAUGAAAUGCGUAGAUAUUAAAAAGAAUACCGGUGGCGAAGGCGACUUACUGGGCUCAUUCUGACGCUGAGGAACGAAAGCGUGGGUAGCAAACAGG